rnacentral:rRNA from 1 species
UACGGAAGGGGCAAGCGUUGUUCGGAAUCAUUGGGCGUAAAGGGCGCGUAGGUGGUUCUGUGUGUCUACCCGUGAAAGCGUACGGCUCAACCGUAUUUUGUCGGCAGAAACUGCAGGACUUGAGGCUGGGAGGGGCUGGUGGAAUUCCCUGUGUAGCGGUGAAAUGCGUAGAGAUGGGGGAGAACACUCGUGGCGAAGGCGGCCAGCUAGACCAGUUCUGACACUGAGGCGCGACAGCGUGGGGAGCAAACAGG